rnacentral:misc_RNA from 1 species
AAGUCGUAACAAGGUUUCCGUAGGUGAACCUGCGGAAGGAUCAUUAUCACGUAUCCACGUUAUCAACCAUUGUGAACUGUUUGACCUCUGAUGUUUUAUAUAAAGGUUAUGUUUGUAAAUGUGAUGAAAGAGUGGAUUUUAGUUUGAGAGAAAGGUUAUGAGAGAGAGAAAGUGAGUGCGGCUCAAUUCUCUCUGUUUUCUUUUCGAUCACUAAUUUCCCCACAAACAUGGCUGGAACAUCAGAGUGUAUUUUACUCUUUCAUUCAAUUCAUUCACCUUUUGAACCAUAUUUCUAUUAAACUUCAUUGAACUGAUAUAAAUUUCUUACUCUUUCUCUUCGAAAGAGAAGAAAUUCAUUACGAAAACAAAAGAACAACUCUUAGCAACGGAUAUCUUGGUUCUC